UGGUGCAUGGUUGUCGUCAGCUCGUGUCGUGAGAUGUGGGUUAAGUCCCGCAACGAGCGCAACCCUCGACCUUAGUUGCCAGCAUUCAGUUGGGCACUCUAAGGUGACUGCCGGCUAAAAGUCGGAGGAAGGUGGGGAUGACGUCAAAUCAUCAUGCCCCUUAUGACCUGGGCUACACACGUGCUACAAUGGGCGGUACAAAGGGUCGCGAACCCGCGAGGGGGAGCCAAUCCCAAAAAGCCGCUCUCAGUUCGGAUUGCAGGCUGCAACUCGCCUGCAUGAAGCCGGAAUCGCUAGUAAUCGCGGAUCAGCAUGCCGCGGUCGAAUACGUUCCGGGCCUU
rnacentral:rRNA from 1 species